rnacentral:tRNA from 1 species
GCCUGGGUAAUUCAGCUGGUUAAGUGUCUGACUUCAGCUCAGGUCAUGAUCUCACGGUUUGUGGGUUCGAGCCCCGCAUCAGGCU